rnacentral:tRNA from 1 species
UGAGCCAUAGUGAAAUGGUAGCACACUCAGUUUGCAGUGAAGUCUUUUAACUGAGAAAUAUUGGUUCAAAUCCUGUUGGCUCAA